AUUUAUAUGUAUUUUUGUGUAGUUGUGUCAUUUAUCCCUAUUAUCUGCUGCCCCUUGCGGCAUAGAUAAAGACGAGUGCGGCACAAUUAAAAAUAAGCAAGUGUAGUGGGUUCAUAAUGCAGGUUUGUUUGAAUUCUUUAAUUCUCAGCCGCCAGGGCGCGCCACUUUAGCGACACACUUUCUACAAGAGAAAAAGUCGUUACUAUAUAAGCCUUAUUCUAUGCUCCUUCCCGGGAGCAUCACAGGGAGUCGCUCCUCGCUCACGAUCCCUAGCGUAAAAAAAUAGUAUUCUUGAAUGAUAGGGAAUGCCAGUGAACACGCAGUCCCUGCAAGCACUGUUGCCAGCUUAUCUCACCAAUCAAAAUUGAGAAAAUAUUGACGGUCUGACAUGAUUGCCAACGUCAUUUAUUUCCUAUUGUGGCGGAACUCGUACCAACCUGCUGUUUUAAAAGAGACAGACAUCUAAGAAUCAUGUAUUUGUCUUUAUCUAAGCUAAGAAAGGGUCGUUUAUUCCGUCGUUUUCUGCUGUUUUUGUUUUUUUAAGCGUGGUUCAUUGCUUCUGUGCCCUAUUGAGCUUUUAGGAAAAAUGGAAUAGCACAAUAGCCAUUGCAAAUUGUGAAAAAUCAAGGCUGCUAUCGCUCAAGCAAAAGGAAUCGCUGCUAGAAUUUGUCCACAGCAGGUCCCAAAUGACAAGGCUUAUUCUCGUGUAGAAUCCUUAACGAAUGUAUAUUUAAUGAACAAUAAAACACCAUCUCCACCAACAAUGUA